rnacentral:rRNA from 1 species
UACAGAGGGUGCAAGCGUUGUUCGGAAUUAUUGGGCGUAAAGCGCGUGUAGGCGGCUUUGCAAGUCGGAUGGUGAAAGCCCUCGGCCUCAACCGAGGAAGUGCGUUCGAAACUGCAGAGCUUGAGUACCGGAGAGGGUGGCGGAAUUCCCCAAGUAGAGGUGAAAGUUCGUCAGAUAUCAGGAGGAACACCGAUGGGCGAAGGCAGGUCGUCUGGGCAUUAA